UCUCCGAGUCCUUUAACUGACGCUAAUGCUCGAAAGUGCGGGUAUCGAACAGGAUUAGAUACCCUGGUAGUCCGCACGGUAAACGAUGGAUGCCCGCUGUUGGCGAUACAUUGUCAGCGGCCAAGCGAAAGCGUUAAGCAUCCCACCUGGGGAGUACGCCGGCAACGGUGAAACUCAAAGGAAUUGACGGGGGCCCGCACAAGCGGAGGAACAUGUGGUUUAAUUCGAUGAUACGCGAGGAACCUUACCCGGGCUUGAACUGCAGGCGAACGAUUCAGAGAUGAUGAGGCCCUUCGGGGCGCCUGUGGAGGUGCUGCAUGGUUGUCGUCAGCUCGUGCCGUGAGGUGUCGGCUUAAGUGCCAUAACGAGCGCAACCCCUUUCAUUAGUUGCCAUCAGGUGAUGCUGGGCACUCUAGUGACACUGCCACCGUAAGGUGUGAGGAAGGUGGGGAUGACGUCAAAUCAGCACGGCCCUUACGUCCGGGGCUACACACGUGUUACAAUGGGUGGUACAGAGAGUCAGUGCAACGCAAGUUGUAUUCAAUCAUGAAAGCCAUCCUCAGUUCGGAUUGGGGUCUGCAACCCGACCCCAUGAAGCUGG
rnacentral:rRNA from 1 species